rnacentral:rRNA from 1 species
UACAGAGGUCUCAAGCGUUGUUCGGAUUCAUUGGGCGUAAAGGGUGCGUAGGCGGCGUGGUAAGUCGGGUGUGAAAUCUCGGAGCUUAACUCCGAAACUGCAUUCGGAUACUGCCGUGCUUGAGGACUGGAGAGGAGACUGGAAUUUACGGUGUAGCGGUGAAAUGCGUAGAUAUCGUAAGGAAGACCAGUGGCGAAGGCGGGUCUCUGGACAGUUCCUGACGCUGAGGCACGAAGGCCAGGGGAGCAAACGGG